rnacentral:rRNA from 1 species
AUGGCCAUGGGAAGCUGCGGAACCAGCGGUGGUAUGGCCGGGCGGCGGCACGCGGCCAUGCUCGGCAUCGGCACGGCGAACCCGACCGGCGUCCUAGUGCCCCAAGACGUCUUCGCCGAGAACCUCUUCCGCGUCACCAACAGCGACCACCUCCCUGAACUCAAGGAGAAGCUCAGGAGAAUCUGCGAAAAAUCCGGCAUCGAGAGGCGGCACUUCCACCUGACGGAGGAGACGCUGGCCGCGCACCCGGAGCUGUUCGACAGGGAGCUGCCGUCGCUGGACACCCGCGUGGACAUGACAGCCGACGCCGUGCCGAAGCUGGCGCAGUGCGCCGCGGCCAAGGCCAUCGCCGAGUGGGGCCGCCCGACCGCCGACAUCACCCACCUCGUCUUCAGCACCUACUCCGCCUGCCAGGCCCCCACCGCCGACCUCCGGCUGGCCACGCUGCUGGGCCUCCGCCCCACGGUGAGCCGCACCAUGCUCAGCCUCCACGGCUGCUACGGCGGCGGCAGGGCGCUGAGCCUCGCCAAGGAGCUGGCCGAGAACAACCGCGGCGCGCGCGUCCUCGUCGCCUGCUCCGAGAUGACGCUCGUCUGCUUCGGAGCGCCCGACGGCGGCAACAUCGUCGGCCACGCGCUGUUCGGGGACGGAGCGGGCGCCGUCGUCAUCGGGGCCGGCCCUUUCCUCGACGGCGAGCGGCGCCCGAUCUUCGAGAUGGUCUCCGCCACGCAGACCACGAUUCCCAGGACCGAGCACGCGCUGGGCAUGCGGGUCUCCGGGGGCGGCGUCGACUUCCACCUGGCCAUCCAGGUGCCCACGCUCGUCGGGCAGAACGUGGAGCAAUGCCUCCUCGACGCAUUCCGUAGCGCCAUUGUCGACGACGACGACGGUGGUGCUGCUCCUCCGCCAUCCCCAUGCUCUGGGAAUGGGAACGGGAGGUGGAACGACCUCUUCUGGGCGGUGCACCCAGGAGGCCGUCCGAUCCUGGAUAACAUAAACAAGGUGCUGAUGCUGGAGCCGGAGAAGCUGGCGGCCAGCCGGCAUGUGCUCCGCGAGUACGGCAACAUGAGCGGCGCCACGAUCGUGUUCGUGCUUGACGAGCUGCGCCGGGGCCGGAGCCCGCUGCCGGAGUGGGGUGCACUGCUGGCCUUCGGACCGGGAAUCACGAUCGAGGCCAUGGUGCUCCGCUGUCCACGCUAG